GUUCCUUGAUCCUGUAGUUGAUGUUGUAUCGCCGUCGUCUUUCAACUGGCAAUUGAGAGAACAAAGACUCUGGUGUCGUGUUCUGUAAGAGAAGAAAAGAUGGGAAUGUUAUUGCAGAAACUAAUAAAUGUAUAUCCAAAGCACAGGUCCUGCUCGGACAGGCGUCUGUGCCCUUCUGUGCUCCGUACCUGUGACUUCCAUUUUAACUGAGAGCUUUGUGGGCAAUGAGGGUGUCAGUCCACCGUGAGG